UUAAACAAAACUACUUAUGGUGAAGUUUUCCCUGCAAGGCUGGAUAAUCACAAAUCACUAAGCUGUUGUCACACAGGACUUUCUUAUUUGUGUAUUAUCAAGUUUCCAUUUUAUUUUAUUGUAGUUUAGGUUAGCAUCUCAUUUGCAAAUGUAAGAAGACCUUUUUCUUUAAUCUCCCCAAAGACUUGCAGUGACAGAGGUAGGGACAUCAGUAGACCCAGAAGCCACCACCACAUUCCUCUGCAUGUGAUUUGUCGCUUUCCAGGUGAAUUGCGUAAUUAUGGGGCUGUGCUCUCUGAGACUGACAUCUUGCAAGGACAAGAUGGUAGUGGCUCACCUUGUUCCUGGUGUACACUCUAUUCAUGCUUUAUUUUACACUAAUCAUUUUAGAAAAUAAACAGUGCAAAAUAAGUGUAAUCUUAGCAAAGAAUUUUAUCUAAAGUAACAAUCUGAGGACCUGACAAUGAGCUGACUACAGAGAGUUGUUUUCGACUGCUCCUCUCUGCCGUAUUUUUAGUCUUGUAGUUUCCGUUGUUAUGUUCAGAUGCACCUACUAUGGCUGCUACUAUUAUCAUUCUCUUUUGAUUAUUCUCAUCCUCCCUAGACUUCUUCUCCUUGGUCUCCUUCAAAGGUCUUUUUCCUCUAUAUGGAUUUCCCAGAGCUCAUUCUUUGAUCUUUAUGGGGACACGGUUGGUGCCCCACUCAGGUCACCUUUACCUGCUAGUGCCUCUGCUGCCUCGGCUACUGUUGGUGUUGGCUGCUGAUGGCUCACUACUGGCCCCCUUCUCUGAAGACUUGCCUGAAUGAAGAGCCACCUCUUCCGGAAGUCAUGCUCUGCUCCUUUCCCAGAGCAGCCUGAAGCUAACAAUUCUCUGAUGGGAGAGGAGCUCUAAAACGCUGGCCCCCAUGGCUCCAGGUGAGGUCAUUUCUGUGGUACGUUGCUGAUUCAGACCUCCCUGUGGGAUUGAGCUGAAGGGAAGCUACAUCUGAGACCACAUCCUUGCUUAGCUUUUUUCCCUGCACUAACCCACUUCCCCACUUCCUUUCUCCUGAGAGCUUUCCUUCAGUAAAUAAUUUGAACAAGAGUUUCCAUCUUAGAUUGCUUCUAGGGAAGAGUCAUAUAGUUCUCUCCUUACAGCUCCUCUCUAGGCAAUCUCAUGGUUUCAAGAAAAGCUAAUAUACUGACUUUCAAACUGAUAUUCUGCAGCUCAUGUCUCUUGUGUAAAUUCCAGACUGAGAAGUACAACCGCCUGCUUUUUUAGGUUUUGUUAAAUUUAGGACUGCCUCCUGUCUUUGGGCAAGGUUGUAUUUUGAUUCUUUUUAAUUGCCUUGAAUUAGAAAUUUCAGGAUCAUAAAAAUCUGAGGCCAGCCGAAAGCUUCAUAUGCCCUUUAUUCCUUAUCAAAUGCAAUAGUCUUAGGAAUAUUACAUGUUCCUAUGGGCACAUCAAGACUGUGGGCAGUGGCAUAAAUCACGUAGACUUGGGUUGUGUGUAGUUCCUGAAGUUUUUGUCUUUUUGAGAAAGCCUGUGAAAGUUCAUGAAAAUAAAAGUGAUAUUAUAGGGAACACCUUGAUUGCACUGAAAUUUACAAAAAUCCAAAUCAUGCAAACCUCAAUACCUUGAUCAUUUUUACCAAUAAGUUACUUUCUAUAAGCCUCACAACAUUGCUAUGCUACAACAUAGUGAGGUUAACCUCCCUGACAGAAGACUUUCUUGAGUUCUACAGGCUGAGCUUAAUUCUGGUAAACAUACCUCCCUUGUGCUACUCAUCAGAUUGCAUUUCAAUCGUUUGUUUCCUUGUUUGUAUUGCCUCUAACCCCUGGAGGUUGUGGAUUGUAUUAUUUUUAAUCUUUUCUUGAUAAAUUCCACCGUUUGUGCAACCAGGUAUUGGUGGGUGAAUGUCAGGACAUUGGGUGGCUCCUGCCCCAGCCGUGAGCCAAGACACGAUUCUCCCACAAUCUCACAGCCUUGGCCUGGCUAUAGCCUUCCCACAGCCAUCUUGGCAUGGCAGCCAGAGCUACCGUGUGCCCGUAUUCUCUGAAGGCCUCUUGCUCCCACUGGCACCCAGACUCCCACUGCACACCCACACCACCAGUCGUUCGCCUCCUCUCCCACUUGUGCUAUGGAGGGCGCCUGUUUCUUGCCCAGCACUCCAGACCAGCUCACGCCUGGCUGAACCAGUGAAAUCUCUGCUACCCGGUAGCCAAACCACACCUUCUCCUACAGUCUCAAUGUCUUCCACAUUUGCCUUUCCUUGGGUGUCGUAGAGAGUUUCCUCAUGUCUUAUAGUUACUUUUUUUUUUAUCAUAGCUAACAAUUUUCUGUAUUAACCUUCCCCUUUUUAACCUACUGGAUGGUUUCUAUCUCUGUUUGUGCUCAGACUUCCACAGUAUGUGUGCCAGAGUAUGCAUGCCAUAGCAUGCCUUCCACAGGCUAGCCUAAGUGACACACCUGAAUCUGGACACGUGCAUUAAUUUGUGUAUCAAAAUGAACUGGAGCCUAAAGAAAAGUCAUAAUGGUCUUUCACUAUUUCAUUUUUGGCCGCUGAAUUUUUGUGUUUAUUUUCAACCCAAUUAGUAUUCCAGAUUAAACCCUUGAGGUUUUGUUUUUGUUUUUGUUUAAGACUCCUCAUAAAAUAACAAUUUUGAGUUUUGAGUCUUAGGGACAUGCUUAAAAAUAGAUGGAGAUAUGGGAUUCACGUGUAUAAAACUCAAGAUAUUUUAUUCCUUCUAUUGGGAAAGAUUAUUUGGGGAUAUUUAGAAAAAAUGACUCUAUCAAAAUCAGAUGUGGGCUGAUUGUGAACACAAGUAAGAAUACAGAAAGAUCCAGUCAAAGACAUUGAAGAGCGCCGUUGACCACGCUGUGAAUCUAUCAGAUUUGACUACUUGAGCUUUUGUUGGCUGUAGAGACGAUGCCUUCAACUAGCAGGUUUAGUUCCUCUCACUUCCUAAAUAUAUCACUUAGGAUUCUUUCUGUUGCAUGUGAAAGAAAACCAAUUCUACCUGGCUUAAAAAUAAGGGGAAUUUAUCGGCUCAAGUUGCUUGAAAGUCCAGGGGAUAGUCUCGUUUGAAGUACAGCUCGGUCAGGGGCUCAAACAGCGCGGUCAGGACUUCAUCCCCAUCUUUACUUCUUACUUCUUUUCCUGUUGGCUUCAUUCUUAGUCUCUAGAGGAAAGAAAACCAGAAAGAUGUCACUUAUCAGUUCUCCUAGGUUAAAACAGAGUAGAAGUGAAAGCAACUCUUUCUGGGCGCUCCCACCAAAUCCUGGCCUUUACUCUGACUGGAACUGCUUGGGUUACAUGCGUAACCUUGAACCAAGGACCAGUAGAACGUGGGUUGUACGACCCCUUUUUGAGUUUGGGUCAUCAUUGGAACCAGAGAGAGAGUCAGUAGGAAUGGCUCUCUACAGAAAGUAGAGAAGUCUUCUUCAGGGUGUCUCUCCUGAAGGACAGAUAAAUGCUUGGUAGACAAAAUGACAAAUGUGCACUGGACUAGGCAAACCUUGCACAAGACUGCCUCACUCUUGGUAGCCCACAGCAGCCCAUCUCCUCGGACGUGUUGUGCUGCCCCUAAUCCCAGUAUUCACCAUGACCAGCAGAAGGCACCUACGUGUUCGUGGAGCCACACCUGACUGUGACCCUUGCCAGUAGCUCAUUCUCUCAGAAUUGGCUGGGUUCUUCGAUCAAGGUAUGUACAUCACCUGUCAGACCUGCCAGACUUUGAGUGAAGAUGCCCAGAGUGGGCAGCAGUCUUUCUGUACCUACCCCACAUGCCAAAGUAGCCUGUGUGUUUCUGAGACCAACAUGUCCUUGUUAACUGCUUUUGAUCAUUCCGUGUACUCAUUUACAGGGUCUCAAACUUGCCAAUCUAAGACGGUAAGAGCAGACAGUGAAGGUGGAUGCGUCUCUCCUCAAUUCCAUUUCCCACGGUGAUGGUGUGCAGUCAACAAAGACUGUUCCAAAGGCCCUACUGAGGCUCCAGUCUACACAGACUCUGUCUCUUGGUGGAACACUGAGAAGGAAUGAAGAAGCUUCCUUCUUAAGAUGGUAAGUUCUUCUUACGACGUUUAAAAAUUCAUGUUCAAUUUUUCUGGAACUUAACUUUCGAGGGUAAGUCCCUAGAAGCAUUCUAUUUUCAUUUAAUUUAUAAAAUAGAUUUGGUGCAGGAAAUGAAAUUUCUUCCUCUUAGUUGUAAAAGAACUCGCCAGCUCUGUGUUUCUCUGGAAGGAGUAUAGGUUCCAGCCCAGGUGUCCCAGAGGGCCUGCCGGCAACAGGAACAACCGCAACCAGUGCUUCCAAAUCCAGAUGUGAUGGGAGCUUGGUUGUUUUUGACAAUUGGAAUAAUUAAUAGCACCUUUUUCAUAGCAUUUAAUAUGAAGGUUUAAUGAGAAAACGCAUGCUCAGCAAACACAGUCAUAAACAGUUACUCAGCAGUGGUGACUCUUUCCUAGGGGCACACGGUGACUUAGCCUGCAGCCCAUUCCUGUGUUUCUCUUCACAUGCUCCUGUCCCUGCCCACUUCCUCCUUAAACUGGUCUCUCAACUUCUGCUCCCGUCUGCAAAAGUACCAGCAGCAGAGACGGUGCAGACGAGUGGCUGGAACCUUACUCAAAAUUUAGCAUGCUUUUUGCACCUUAGUAGGAUUUGACUUUCAUCCUUAAGGUCCUGCCAAGGUUUCUUUGGUAGGGUCUGACAAGGCGCCAUAAAUAUUCUCUUAAUUGCUAGCCCUAAGCAGUGAGCUCCAUGCUUGUUUUCCGUCGCCAGCCUAAAAUGUAACAGGAUCCCCGAUGGCUCCUGAAUCUUGUAAAUUGGAAAGACUGAUUUCAGUUCUCCCGAGUCAUUUUGGGGAUGUCAGAGCUUAGAAUCUUUGCUUGAGCUCAGCAGAGCUGCCUGUGGUUAUUUCUACUUUCGCAGUGGCGGAAGCUACUGCGCCACAGAAGCCACAGUUUGAUACUCAUUUCUGUACAGCGUCUACGAAGUCUAUGUGUUUACUAAAUGGCUCCGUAAUUGUGUGGAAUAAAUGAAUUCCUGAAAUAUCCAUAGUGCAAAAUAAGAUCUAUAUACAGAAG
rnacentral:lncRNA from 1 species